CUGUAUUCCUAUAGUCGGUUCCACUCAUAUAGGUUAGCCAUCUGUUCUGCGGAAUUAACGAAUUCGUGUAUCCGCUCACUUUCGUCGUAAUUCCUUCAACGCCUUGGAACAGCCGUCGUCACUGGAUUUCAUCACAAGAAACCUGACAUGCCCUUGACCUGGAGCCUAAUGUUAUUCCUGGCUGUGUUGGUGCCAGCAGCCAUCGAAUGUCGCAGUGCAGUGGUCUCUAGAUCUGACGAAUAUUACUACGGGUGCACACCGUUCGGCUUCGAAUGCCACACGAACCGUGAGUGUUGCAGUGGCAAAUGCGGACAGCGUGAUGAUCCUUAUUACCGGAAAAUGUUCUGUUACUAUGACUGAUCGAACAGAUGAAGAACUUCCCACUCCGUGUCCCCUAAUAAAAUCAUAUACUGAGGU